rnacentral:rRNA from 1 species
CUGCAGUCGACGAACUUCCGUUAAUUGAUUAUGACGUACUUGUACUGAUUGAGAUUUUAACACGAAGUGAGUGGCGAACGGGUGAGUAACACGUGGGUAACCUGCCCAGAAGUAGGGGAUAACACCUGGAAACAGAUGCUAAUACCGUAUAACAGAGAAAACCGCAUGGUUUUCUUUUGAAAGAUGGCUCUGCUAUCACUUCUGGAUGGACCCGCGGCGUAUUAGCUAGUUGGUGAGGUAAAGGCUCACCAAGGCAGUGAUACGUAGCCGACCUGAGAGGGUAAUCGGCCACAUUGGGACUGAGACACGGCCCAGACUCCUACGGGAGGCAGCAGUAGGGAAUCUUCCACAAUGGACGCAAGUCUGAUGGAGCAACGCCGCGUGAGUGAAGAAGGGUUUCGGCUCGUAAAGCUCUGUUGUUAAAGAAGAACGUGGGUAAGAGUAACUGUUUACCCAGUGACGGUAUUUAACCAGAAAGCCACGGCUAACUACGUGCCAGNA